AGCAGCCGCGGUAAUUCCAGCUCCAAUAGCGUAUAUUAAAGUUGUUGCAGUUAAAAAGCUCGUAGUUGAAUUUCGGGAUCAAUGCGUCGGUCGUGCCUCCGGUAUGUACUGGUGUUAUUGAUUUCUCCUUUCUGAUGAACCAUGAUGUCAUUAAUUUGAUGUUGUGGGGAGUCAGGACUGUUACUUUGAAAAAAUUAGAGUGUUUAAAGCAGGCUCACGCUUGAAUACAUUAGCAUGGAAUAAUGAAAUAGGACGUUCGAUCCUAUUUUGUUGGUUUCUAGGAUCAACGUAAUGAUUAAUAGGGAUAGUUGGGGGCAUUAGUAUUCAAUUGUCAGAGGUGAAAUUCUUGGAUUUAUUGAAGACUAACUACUGCGAAAGCAUUUGCCAAGGAUGUUUUCAUUAAUCAAGAACAAAAGUUAGGGGAUCGAAGACGAUCAGAUACCGUCGUAGUCUUAACCAUAAACUAUGCCGACUAGGGAUCGGAUGAUGUUAAUUUUUAAUGACUCU
rnacentral:rRNA from 1 species